GUUUAGGGAGGCGUCCUUUGAGAGAGGCGAACCAGGGAAAGGGUUAAAACUGUCUUACUGUUCUCUAUUGUGUGCGGGGAAGAUUCUCCCACAUCGCCUAGUGAGUUUUUACAAAGCCAGGCACAUUCUCACACAGGGCCCUGGAUCAUAUGGAAUCCCGAGCAGAUGGCCACAUUCACUGGGACUGUGGGUCAAACAUAUGCUCUCCAGGCUCUUGUGUAGAAUGGAAUCCGUGAGCGCCGGAAAGAGCUGGGGGUGGGGAGCUCAACCUAGCUACUGUAAGACCACGGGACAGAGAAAGAAACACUUGCAAGUUGUUAGGAUCAAGCAUUCUCAUGCAAAAGAAUCAGCUGACUGAUAGUUUCACAUUUGCAAUGCUGUGACUGUAAGGGCUUUUUGCAUAAAUUAUCUAGUAGUAGUGUUUGGAUUCAAACAGGUACUUCAAAACUUUUUUUAAGAUUUUAUUUUUUUUUUAAUUAGGAUUAUAAUAUUUGUGUACUAGAAAUUAAAUACGAGGACACAAAACUCUAAAAAGCAUUAAAACCGCACAUUAAAGCAAGAUGUUAAAAAGCUAUAUUAAAUCAGCUAUACUAUAAAACGAUGGAACCAAAAGACUGAUGUUCUCAGGACAAAGAUUGGGGUAAUUUCCACGCUGGAUUAUUUUCAGAGCAGAGGGAAGGAACUUGGCUUUGCCUGCAAAAAGCGUCUGCAGAAAGUGGCCCUUUCAAACUCCACUCACAUUCAUACUUCCCUCUCAAAAUUCACACACCUGUUCAAAUAGCCAGCCUCAGUGGCCAUAAAGAGGAAUUGUUCACCUCCAUACACUUGCAGUGUCAUGUGCAGUAUUUCAGAAUACCCCAGAAGGAACUUAUUUUAGACUCAACAUAAACAAAAUUAUAAUGACUUGUUUGAAGUCUGACCAUCUGGCCAUAUGCUGAGGCUGGUUUCAUGUCUCAUGCUGAAAGGCUGUUUCACGUGCCUCGAAAAAAAUCAUGCCUCAGCAAAACUAUCUGCAUGGAUCACAUGUCUGCUGUCUGAGUUUCAGUUAAAUAGAGGUUGGUAAUAUGUUUGGUUAAAAACAAUAUAUUGGUUAAAAAUACCAACCCCCACAAACACACUUUUGUUUCUGUGAAUUGUGGGGACUUUCCAUAGACUUCUAUUACUUUUAUACUGAACAAAUGAUAUGUUCUAUCCCCUAACCCUAAACCUAGCCCUUACAGAAAACCUGUUUGCAAUCCCUACAAUGUCAAAAAUGUCAGGUUUUACUGUCCUUUACUGUUUUAAUGUAGCAUAAACAAGUACACACACACACACACACACACACACACACACACACACACACACACACACACACACACACACACACAGGUGUUAUUUCGUAUCGAGCACUAAAGUUUUUGUUAAUAUUUUGAAUUAGAUCUUAUUUUUAGAUUUCAAUUUGAAUUUAACAAAUACAUUUUAUUUUAAUUUUUAUUUUAGUUUUAGUUAUUUUAGUUCAUCAAGUUAAACAGUAAAACAGCACCACACACCAGCUACAGGUGGAGAGG
ensembl:lncRNA